UAGAAUUUUUGAGUUUGCUGUUUAGCUACAACCCCAUAGAAAAAGAAAGUAGUCUGUCUGUCUUUGCCGGCCGUUAAGUGAGCAGCACGUGGUUGAAACUAAAUUUUGCUUAUUAUAGCUCCAUUUAAAAGAAAAAAUGGUAGCGCGACUAAUAUCGCGGCAAUUAAUGGGACUGUUUUAUGGAAAACGUUUAUAUGAUUCACUGUUCUAUUGAGCUGAGGAACAAUUUUCAGAACUUCGAAGAAUAAACUAACCUAAUCCUCUCGUGGCAGUCUAUGCUUGCUAAAUUGAAAAAAUGUUUACUGAACUCUCACAAACUCUGAUCCCGAUCACAGGAAUCCUUGUCCAACGAUGGGGUUAAUAAUGUGUUCUGUUGUCUAUUUUCCAGGAAUUUAUUUUUACGAAAUGCCAUGGAUUGGCAGUUGAUGAUUAAAAGAAUUGUUACUAUUGCUGCAAGAAGUGAGAAGUCAAAAAGUUGACUGAAAUCCAAGAAAUAGACUUCAUGAACAAAAAUUGGACUUAAUGGGAUUCUACUAGCCCCUACAGACAAGGCAUCCUGAAGAAAGUAUUGUUCUUUGUCUUUUUAGGAUAAAAUUGGAGGUCCCUACAGUAUGGGGAUUAACUAGUAUGGAUUGCAAUAUUUAUGUACUUUGAAGAAUUUUUAUCUGGAUAUCGCCGAUUCCUUAAAACAUGAUUGAAGCUAGUUGGGUGGUGGCUUGGCACCUUUUCUAAUAGACAUUGUAAGCUUGUUUUAGAACUGAAAGGCUUGAAGAGCUUACCGUUUGGAUAAUUAUUCAGAAAAUUACCAAGUUUCCUAGGCUGCUGAUAAUGUUUCAGCUAAUUUCAAGCCUUUUACAAUGGUUCAUCAGUAAAGUAAAGUUAGUAAAUAACUUGGUUAAAUCUGUUAGCCUGUUUCUGAACUUUGGGUGAACUUCUGGUGACAGUGUUAUCUUUGGCAAUGGAUUAUUGUGGAAUAAUCACUUGAUGGGAGUCACAUGAAGCAAUAUUUAUGUAGCACAAGAG